CUCAGCCUCCCUGCGGCUCUCUCUGGCAUAGAGGGUCAUCACACCCCUCGAAACUCCAAGGCUUGGGUCCUGAAACCCUGGCUAGGGGUGUUGAGGGAAUGAAGCAAGGACAGACACAGCGCAGAAAAGCUGGGGUCAGGUAGGGUGUGUUCACUCGGAUGAAGUGCCACCUAACUGCCACACAGCUCAGAAUCUCAGAGUGUUUCUUAUUUAGACCACAGCAGGAGGAUAAGUGUCAGUAGGAGGUCUAUGCAGGUGAGCAGUUUCACUCAGGCUGCCAAACGUGAGUGGGAGAGAAGAAACCUGCAGUUGCUAGGUGGUUUUUGCUGUUGUUUGUACUUAGUGGUCACUCCCUCACAGUAGGACUACAAAGGAAGUCUUUGCCAUCCACCUUAGCCUCACCUGGGGAAGGCUUUGGCACUUGUAGGAGGCUGAAGUGUUGGAGUCCUUGACGUGGCCACGCCCAUGUCUACAACAGGAGCUCUGCUCCCUACACAGGAUGAAGAGGCUGGGCUGGGGCCCAACAGCCGCAGUGCCUAAUGGAUCCUUGGCUCCUCAGUACUCUUCGGAUACGCUGUGCUAAACUAAAUCGUGAUAUAAACCUUUCCCCCACUCCUGAAAGGUUAUGAGAAGUCAGACUUCUCCUUUGCUCUGAGGAUUGGAUUUGAGGCUCCUCGGGUGACAAGUGCUCAGGCCUGUGGAAAACCCAUCAAGACCAGCUUCAAUUUGCCACUGGGCACCGAGGACAGUGGGAAACUGGACACACAUAAAAGAGGUAUUGGGAACGGCAGGUGGGGGAGGCAGCUCCGUGUCAUAGCGACGGCGUCAGAGGCCACAAGUUCCUUGUUAGAGUUCCAGCACCAGCAAUUCCUCCUGGACAAGUGGCUCUCUCUGGCCUCAGUGUCCUCUGAAAUGGGGUGGCAAAUGGUUUCCUUGCACGGUUCUUAUAGGAAUUAAAUAAAGCAAUACCUAAGGCAUUGAAACAUGAGAUUCCUGGAACAUGGUGUUUUAUAAUUCAU
rnacentral:lncRNA from 1 species